CUUUGAACGCAAGUUGCGCCCAAUGCCGUCAGGCUGAGGGCACGUCUGCCUGGGCGUCA
rnacentral:rRNA from 1 species